rnacentral:tRNA from 1 species
GAAUAUGAAGCGAUAAAUUGCAAUUAGUCGACCUAAUUUUAGGUAAAUUACCCUU